GGCAUUGUAAAACACCCCGCCGAUCGAAGCGAUCGAUCGGGCAGUCCUGCUAAGUAACACACAGUAGGCCCUUUUUUGUCACCGAUCAUGUGGCCUCUUUCGCUUUUAUAGAGUCAGGGUCGUGUGCAUGAGGGGAUUGUAGCAACGAUUAACCAAGGCGAAUGAAUGAAACACAAUCAACUCAUCGUGUACCCGCUCGUGCAACUCCAGGUUGGCUAUUCAUAGCUCAUGUCGCCUUUAUAGGCAAGCCCCGAGAAGGGGAGGCUGCUCUGCCAUCUCAUUGGCUGAGAGAUCUUUAAAGCACACCUGUGCAAUAUCCAUCCAGCACUGCAAAUAUGAUCUUUGCAAAAUAUUUUUUUCCCCCCACUUUCAGACCCCAAAGCAAGCCACACUUUUAAACCCGCAAGUUUUUAGCCAGACAGGAAAUAUGUGAAAACGGUGGUGGUGGUGGUGGUGGUGGUGAGAGGGGGCUUCCUGUGAGGGCCCCACUCGAAAAGCCCAUCAAAGCCACGCUGGUGUCGUAACCUUCAGUCACUGGUAAGCUCGGAAGCUCAUGUCAACUUCACUGAGCUGGCAAUGACCCACAUGCUAUUCCGAGUGUGAAGAAUGCUUAGCAGGUUGGGAGUUUUCCCUCAAGAGCGACAGUGAGUGAGCAGGGCGGGGGCACACCUGGUUAACAUGGAUCCUGUCUAUGUUCUGUUAUUGUGUGGCCUAUCCAACGGCCAGAAAGUGUCGGUGGGGGGAACUCUAAACACCACUUAAGGUGAUUAAGUGACCCGCAGAGGCUUUUGGGAUCAAUGUGCUUUGACUGUCUGCCAAUAAUGGAUUUCAGAUGCACGUCUGAAACUCGGAUAGGCAGAAUAAAAAGUACAUGGACACAAACGAUUGGUUGGGGAAGAUAAGGGGAAAUCUGUGGGUGGUUGCAGCCUCAAGAGUUUGCCUUGCAUUCUUCGGGGAAGACGGGUUUUGGAGUGAGUCUGUUGGAAUUUCUGAGCGUUUGUCAGGUCAGAGGCCAUUGAGGUUGUUUAUCCAGAAGACAUGCAGUGAUUCCCGUGACUUGGUUAAAUCAAGGUCGGGGAACACUGCCUCACUGGACCUUAUUUACAGUCCCAUCCAAAAGUAUUGGAGCGGCAAACUCAAUUCCUUUGUUUUUGUUAUAUGCUGAAGACAUUUGGAUUUCCGAUCAAAAGGUGAAUGUCAUAUGGAUGUUUAUAAUUCCGGUUUAGAUUUCAUGGGGUUGACAUGUAAAUGUGUGAAGCAACCCAGGACUGAGCACCUUUGGUUUUAAAGCCACUCAUUUUUCAAGUACCGUAAGCUAACGUAUUAGCACGGAUAUUAUUAGAUGAACGGAAAGUUUAAUAUUUGGAAGGGUAACCCUUACUUGCAAUAACUGCAUCAACCCUACAACCCGGGCGGCCGGGUAGUCCAGUGGUUAGCACAUCGGCCUCACAGUGCAGAGGUACCGGGUUCGAUUCCAGCUCCGGCCUCCCUGUGUGGAGUUUGCAUGUUCUCCCCCGGGCCUGUGUGGGUUUUCUCCGGGUGCUCCGGUUUCCUCCCACAUUCCAAAAAUAUGCAUGGCAGGCUGAUUGAACACUCUAAAUUGUCCCUAGGUGUGAGUGUGAGCAUGGAUGGUUGUUCAUCUCUGUGUGCCCUGCGAUUGGCUGGCACCCGAUUCAGGGUGUCCCCCGCCUACUGCCCGAAGACAGCUGGGAUAGGCUCCAGCACCCACCGCGACCCUCGUGAGGAUCAAGCGGCUCGGAAGAUGAAUGAAUGAAUGAACCCUACAACCCAAAGACAUCACCAGACUGUUGGGUUCUUAAUUUGAAAUGCUUUUACGGGCCUUUACUGCAUCCUCUUGUCAGUUCUUGUUUGUUUUUGUGGGGUUCUCCCUUCAGUCUUUUCUCCAGCAAGAAAAAUGAAGGGUGAAGUGGGAUGCAAGUUUAAUGAAGCAAGCUGGCAAGCUGUUGAUCUGACCGACAUGGACUGAGUCCAAGUGGGUGAGCUGACCACGAACAAUGAAAUUGGUCCGUCUCAUCCAGCGAUAUCACACAGAAUGGGGGUUGGAACUUUGUUCGAGCAAGAAAGUUCCUGCAACUCAGUGACGGCAGUGGGUGAAGAACACUCGGAGAAUUUAGGAUUCUCGUCCAAGGGAAUAAAUCUAGGAGAAAAUCCUUUGUGUCCGUUGAGUUGCUCAACAUUUGUCACGUACAAGAGCUGCUUACGGUAUCUUUUCGGCGCGAGCUGUGAAGCAGCGCAACCAGAGAGGCUGCGUGAACCCUGGCACGUUCGUCUUCCUCCCCUUUUGUUAGCCACGUGCGUCCUUAUUAGGGUUUGACAGAGGCUAUUUAGACGAUUGAUGUACUAUUUUUUUUUUUAAGGCUUGGAGUUGAUUCCAAAAGGGAUUUGGGAAUGUUCCUCCUUCAAAUAACUCCUUGAAAGAACGCCACCGGUUGCCAAUUGCGCUGGCGCUCCUGCCUGCCAACAUGUCGGAUGUUCAUCCAGCCACCUGCUACAUCAUUGUGUAGAGGAGGGAGACUAGCACCAUGGCAACCAGGCGUGUUCAUGUUCUACCCCUUUAGUCACGUCUCCCUUUAAAAAGAAAAAGGGAAAAAAAGUCACCCACCUCCUGUCCGACUAAUCUUUCAGGAUUAUAGCUUUAUACCUUUAACAAGCGUUUAACUAAAAGUACUCGUAUAAUCAAUUUUGCCCAUUGAAAUAUCAUUUAUCAAUAAACUGGGCAUUCAGACAUCAAGGCAGUACCGUCAUUAUCAUUUAGGUAUUCCGAUAUGGAAGUAAAAUGUGCGGACUGUUGCGAAUGAAGUCAUCCAAAACGAUGCUACGCUAGCAUGUUAACAUUAGCUAACAUGACUUGUGGCAGUUUCUUGAGUCACGAGUGACAUGGUGUGAAUUGAUUUGAAACAAUUUCAGCAUAAAGAACGGCUGUAUUACUCACAUUGUUAUUGUACGAUAGUCAGCGUUUCACAACACAAGAACGAAAUUAAAUUAAGAAAGAAUUAACACAAGAAUGACGUUUUGUUUCCUCUUCCUGAGCCGACGUAAUUGGGCCCCAUUUAGAUCACAAGAAGACUGUUGAUUUUAAUCUUAAUUAACUUAAUUAUGCCACGUCUUCAAUACAGACGCGGUGUCUAGGAAGGCCAAAACCGUCCUCACACAAAAACACACGGAACCACACGACAUGCCGAGUUGCCUUCAAGCUAACACGUGAAUACACAGUGAUUGACUCGGCGGGCCAAAAAAGGGUUGUUGCACACCGGGAAGUGAAAGACCCCAGUGUGUUCCUACAAGCAAAGACGCCCCCCCACGCCCCUCACCAAGACACACACAUUUGUGUUAAUGGUUUACACGUGGCUCCAUGCAGUGCACACGGUUCCAGUUGGAUGAUGGCGUGGGGUGAGUCAGCGUGUAGUGUGUUUUGAAAUGGAGGAGUCACAAGGAGUGUAGGUGACUAAGUGUGUGUGGAUUCCUUGAGUAAGGUUUGUGAGCUAGCGCAACAAAUGCAGAGAUUGAAGAAUUAGCGAGAAAGAUGGAAAACAAGGGAUGUGAGUCAUUAAGCGGAAUGUUUAGACAGGAAGGGAGACCAAGUGAAGAAGUACCCGACAACAAGUAUAAAACAACCCACUGCAUUUUCCCUAUGACUUCAUGAGACAUAAUUGUCAGUACUAUAAAUGAAGAUCAUAAUUUUAUAUCACGUCUGCCUCACAUUGCAGAGGUCCAGCGUUCGAUUCCAGACUUCCUGUGUGGAGUUAGCAUGCUCUCAUAUGAGUACGUGGGUUUUCUCCAGGUACUCCGGUAUCCUCCCACAUUCCAAAAACAUGCAGGGCAAGCUAAUGGAAGUCUCUAAAUCGUCUCUCUAGGUGUGACUGUCAUUGUGUUUGUGAGUGGUUGUUUGUCUUUGCGUGCCCUGCGCUUGGCUGGCAGCCAGCGUAGUGUGUACCCCGCCUACUGCCCGAAAACAGCUGGGAUAGGCUCCAGAACCGCCCGCGAGCCACGUCAGGAUAAGCGGUGAAGUUUCGAGUGUAUCGAAUUCAAUCGAAUCGUCGUACUUGGAGGGAUAUAUCUUUGAAGGAAAUGCCACAUUUACAGUACUGACAGGUUCAUUCAAAUGUAUGUAAAAUUAAACAAAAA